rnacentral:rRNA from 1 species
CGUCUAUAUACGUAUAGCAUAUCAAUAAGCGGAGGAAAAGAAACUAACUAGGAUUCCCUCAGUAACGGCGAGUGAAGCGGGAAGAGCUCAAAUUUGAAAUCUUCAAGGUUCUACCUUGACGAAUUGUAGUUUAUAGAAGUGUUUUCUGUAGUGGAGUUUGGUAAAAGUUCUUUGGAAUAGGACAUCAUAGAGGGUGAGAAUCCCGUAUUUGGUCAUUCCUUCUAGCGUUGUGAUACACUUUCAACGAGUCGGAUUGUUUGGGAAUGCAGUCCAAAAUGGGUGGUAAAUUUCAUCUAAAGCUAAAUAUUGGCGAGAGACCGAUAGCGAACAAGUACCGUGAGGGAAAGAUGAAAAGAACUUUGAAAAGAGAGUUAAACAGUACGUGAAAUUGUCAAAAGGGAAGCGUUUGACACCAGUGUUGUUUUCUCGAAAAUCAAUUAAAAAGACUGUAUUUUGUGUUAGUAUUGACUUUAUCAGCUUUCUGCACUCUUUUCUAUGUAACUUUCUUAAUGCACUUUUCGGUUUAACAAGUCAACAUCAAUUUCUUUUGUUGUAAAAGGGUCAUUGAGGAAGGUGGCUUUCCUUUCGGAGAAAGUGUUUAUAGCCUUUGGCCUCUGCAAUCGGAGAGAUUGAGGUCUGCAGCGUAGAUCCUUCGGGGUUAGAUACAUUUGUGCUAAGUUAUAGCCUUUCAUAGACAACUUGUUGACUAUGAUCAGUCAUGUAGCUUACUCGCUUAUGCUAUUUUACCUACGCUUAGGAUGUUGACUGAUAUGUAGUCGUA